AGAGUUUGAUCCUGGCUCAGGAUUAACGCUGGUGGCGUGCAUAACACAUGCAAGUCGAACGGGAUUUAUAUGAAUGAGGCUUCGGCUGAGUGAGUAUAAUGAGAGUGGCAAACGGGUGAGUAAUGUAUGGAUAAUCUACCUUUAAGUGGGGGAUAGCUUGGCGAAAGCCGAGGUAAUACCGCAUAAAGUUAUAUAUUGGAGGCAAUAUAUAAUGAAAGGCGUAAGUCGCUUAUAGAUGAGUCCAUAUCCUAUCAGCUAGUUGGUGAGGUAACGGCUCACCAAGGCAACGACGGGUAGCCGGCCUGUAAGGGUGACCGGCCACACUGGAACUGAUACACGGUCCAGACUCCUACGGGAGGCAGCAGUGGGGAAUCUUGCGCAAUGGGGGAAACCCUGACGCAGCAACGCCGUGUGAAGGAUGAAGGCCCUAGGGUUGUAAACUUCUGUUAUUAGGAAAGAAGUUCUGACGGUACCUAAUA
rnacentral:rRNA from 1 species